AGGACGAACGCUGGCGGCGUGCUUAACACAUGCAAGUCGAGCGGUAAGGCCUUUCGGGGUACACGAGCGGCGAACGGGUGAGUAACACGUGGGUGAUCUGCCCUGCACUUCGGGAUAAGCCUGGGAAACUGGGUCUAAUACCGGAUAUGACCUCAGGUUGCAUGACUUGGGGUGGAAAGAUUUAUCGGUGCAGGAUGGGCCCGCGGCCUAUCAGCUUGUUGGUGGGGUAAUGGCCUACCGAGGCGACGACGGGUAGCCGACCUGAGAGGGUGACCGGCCACACUGGGACUGAGACACGGUCCAGACUCCUACGGGAGGCAGCAGUGGGGAAUAUUGCACAAUGGGACGAAAAG
rnacentral:rRNA from 1 species